rnacentral:tRNA from 1 species
GCCACGCUGGCCGACGCGGCGCUGAUGCCUUUCGUGCGCCAAUUCGCGAUGGUCGAUGCGACCUGGUUCGACCCUCAGCCGUGGCC